CUUUGCCUCCUUGUGGGUUUGCGCAGUGCGUCAGGUUUAGAACCUUCUGGAUGUGACUUUGCUUCUGACUAGGAGCCUGAACUCAGCUCCUGACAAGCUGACGGAGAGAAUCUGUCCAGAUGAGGGAGCUUGCACGGCACACGUCUUAUCAGGCCUUUGCUUUGGGCCUCCCCGGGUCUCCGUCCGUAAGCCCAUGCCGUUAAUCUUCUCGGUUGCUUUCAGGCGAAUGAUGAGCUGUGCGCGCGCCCGGCCGUCCUUCCUGUCGCACUUCAGGUGGACAAGCGUGGGCUUGUCGAGUGCAACCGCAGAGGCACCGGCGGCCACCACGUCACCCCUCCCUUCGCAGGGUCCUCUUCCUGUUCUCUGACUCUGCUUCGGAGAGUGCUUCCUUAGCUUCGGGAAGAGGCUGUAAUCUAACUCAUCGUCUGUUUGCUCUGAAAACCAGCGUGGACGUGCAGAGGCCGACUGGAUCACCGUCAGUAACCGUGCUGCCAGUCCGAGAAGCCAGCCCGGCCUCUGAAGCGUACGACCUUGAGCUGCUCAAGGACAAGCACAGACCAAGGGAUGCUCUCUGGACGAAGAUGCUCCAAGAGAAAAUGAAUACGCAGCAGAGGCAGAGGAAGACCCCCAGCCUUGGCUCUCAGCGGGACCUGGAGAGCCAGCGGAGAGAGGACAAGAUUAUCUGUAAAUCAGAUAAGAAGGAUUCUCAAAGUAAAAGAUAUCUUAGUCGCUUACAUCAGAUGUAUUCCACUUCGCUCGCCAACAUGGAGUUCUCCAGGAGGUAAGUCUCUUUCUAACACAUACGUGGAUGCUUAUUUUAGACGCCUUUUGCACAAUCACAUCCAUGGUGUUUUCACAGAGAUAUGAAAGAAUUGUCACUACACAAUAUGGUACCAACACUGUUUUCCAAGAAAAGAAGCAUCAUAAAAUCUAAUCAAUAAGAAUCUGUUGUUGUUGUUUAGUCAUUAAGUUGUGUCCGAUUCUUGCAGCCCCAUGGACUGUAGCCCUCCAGGCUUCUCUGUCCAUGGGAUUUCCCAGCAAGAAUACUGGAGUGGAGUAACUAGCAUAAUGUAAAUCUGAAAAGUAAGCAAAAGUAACCCCUGUCCUUUGGGGUCGUGGAGACUGUAGGAGGUGGAGGUAGAGAGGAGAGAAAGGGAUGGGUAUCUCAGAGGAUUGUGGAGCCCUUCCCUCGAGACUGCAAACUGUUAAAGCCUCUCACUCAUGCCGAUUUAAAACCAGCGUUGCUCCCACCAAACAUGCAGAUUCCGGCAGAAUGGAGCCGAGUCCAGGCACGCACCAGGAGUGAGAGACUGUAGCAGUUGGUGGGUGCAGGGUCCACUCAUGCACAAACAUGGGGUUGGUGGGUGUGUGUGCUCAGACACUGAUGUGUCCAGCUCUUUGUGACCCUAAGGACUGAGGCCCGCCAGGCUCCUCUGUCCAUGGGUUUCUCCAGGCAAGAACACUGGAGUGGGUAGCCAUGCCCUCCUCCAGGGGAUCUUCCUGACCCAGGGAUCAAACCCAAGCCUCCUGAGUCUCCUGCAUUGGCAGGUAGAUUCUUUACCUCGUGCCACUUGGGAAGCCUGAUGGGUGGAUAGGGGCGACACAAAAGCAAAUAUUAAAAAGACACACAGUUCUUUUUCAAUCAGCUCUUCAAUCACUCAUUUUAGUCACGUAGAAAAUGCACUCCAUGCUGUGUUGACAGUUUGAUGGUAAGAGACUAAAAAUGAGAUUAGGCAGGAGAUUAAAGUCAGGAGAUUAAAAAUGACAAGUUAUGUGGUGAAGUAUGUGAAAAGGUGUUUACACUGAUAUAUAAUACCUAGGUUGAUUUACAGCUAAACAAUAGCUGUUGUAAAUCUAAGAGCAGGCCUCGAGGCCGUGGGCCGUGUGAGUUAAACGUGGCAGCUCAGCAUGUCCGAGGGGCCCUGGCCACACGUGUAGGGAGAUGCUGCACUGGCCAGACGCUGGUCAGGAGUGCACAGGGGCUGCCUCUGAGCCCCUUCCCUGGGGGCCGGCUGCCUGCACGAACACCUCUCAGCCCUGCCUCAGAAUUUAGUUUUCCAGAGUUUUGUGUCCAUAGAAGUGUCGGAUGCCCAGUCAACCAUUUUGUCUUAAAACAUGGGACUUCCCUGGAAAUCCCGUGGUUAAGACUCCAAGGUUCCGACGCAGAGGACAUGGGUUCAAUGCCUGGUGGGGAACUUGGAUCCCACAUGCACAGGGCAACUAAGCCCGCACGCCGUCAACAGAGAGGCCAGCAUGCCGCAGCGAGAGCGGCACAGCCCUGCUCACCUUUAAAAAGUAAAGAAAUAAAACACGUUUUUCUGAUUUAAACCCUCCCAACCCUGCAAAAACACAAGAACAAGACCUAGUAUCCCCCUCAGUCAGUCUCUCCCAUCAGGAAGCUUCCAUCAGCCUCUUAUCUUUCUCCAUCAGAGGGCAGACACGAUGAAAACCACAGUCACAGAAAACUAACCAAUCUGAUCACAUGGACCGCAGCCUUGUCUA
ensembl:lncRNA